UUGGAGGGCAAGUCUGGUGCCAGCAGCCGCGGUAAUUCCAGCUCCAAUAGCGUAUAUUAAAGUUGUUGCAGUUAAAAAGCUCGUAGUUGAAUUUCGAGAUCAAAUUGUUGGUCGUGCCUCGGUACGCACUGGCAUUAUUGAUUUCUCCCUUCUGACGAUCCGCGAUGUCAUUAAUUUGGUGUCGCGGGGAAUCAGGACUGUUACUUUGAAAAAAUUAGAGUGUUUAAAGCAGGC
rnacentral:rRNA from 1 species